rnacentral:rRNA from 1 species
CAGCCGCCGCGGGAAUACGGAGGGUGCAAGCGUUAAUCGGAAUUACUGGGCGUAAAGCGCACGCAGGCGGUCUGUCAAGUCAGAUGUGAAAUCCCCGGGCUUAACCUGGGAACUGCAUUUGAAACUGGCAGGCUAGAGUCUUGUAGAGGGGGGUAGAAUUCCAGGUGUAGCGGUGAAAUGCGUAGAGAUCUGGAGGAAUACCGGUGGCGAAGGCGGCCCCCUGGACAAAGACUGACGCUCAGGUGCGAAAGCGUGGGGAGCAAACAGGAUUAGAUACCCCAGUAGUCCCUGUCUCUUAUCC